AUCCGGCUCAGGAUGAACGCUAGCUACAGGCUUAACACAUGCAAGUCGAGGGGAAACGACAUCGAAAGCUUGCUUUUGAUGGGCGUCGACCGGCGCACGGGUGAGUAACGCGUAUCCAACCUGCCCACCACUUGGGGAUAACCUUGCGAAAGUAAGACUAAUACCCAAUGAUAUCUCUAGAAGACAUCUGAAAGAGAUUAAAGAUUCAUCGGUGAUGGAUGGGGAUGCGU
rnacentral:rRNA from 1 species